UACGUAGGGGGCGAGCGUUAUCCAGAUUUACUGGGCGUAAAGCGCGUGUAGGCGGCUGGUUAGGUGUGAUGUGAAAUCCUCGGGCUCAACCCGAGAACUGCAUUGCAAACCGGCCUGGCUAGAGUGCAGGAGAGGGAAGCGGAAUUCCAGGUGUAGCGGUGAAAUGCGUAGAUAUUGGGAGGAACACCAGUGGCGAAGGCGGCUACCUGGACCGGUUCUGACGCUGAGGCGCGAAAGCGUGGGUAGCAAACAGGA
rnacentral:rRNA from 1 species